CUAACGCAUGCAACUUGUACACACACACAAGUGAUGGCUUGUUGUAGCCCGUCAGGACGCUAGGUGUUAUUGUCCUGCCAGGAGCAAAAUUCUCAGUAGCUCUUAACAUGGCUUUCAGAGCUGGAAAGUGAAAGUAUGUCUUCAUUGCUGUGGCUUUGUCAGGAGGAACCAAUGAAGCCAGUCUGUGGUUCAUUUGGCUUCGUAGGGCCCCUGCUGAUGACUUCCCUCGAAAAUGCACUGCAUUCUUUAUGGAUGAAUACCAGCUUUCCCAACAGAAAACAGUCACUUCCUGUCAUGUGGUGGAUGGGCUGCUAGAAGAGGGGAGUUGGGGAUCCUUUGACAUUAUGGCAAGCCACAUGCAAAAGCAAACAAGCCUCCCCACUGGACACAGACGUCAGUUCAAUGUCUAGUUUUGAUUUACUUUUGGAUGAAUAUUUUUUUAACCAUGUCAUUGUAUUUAGGUUAAAAGUUGGGUGACAAAAAGACGAAAUGCCCUUACCUUGGGGAGUUUUUGCAAAUCCAAUUAGUUUUCCAUGUUGAUUCAACGUCAUCAAAUAGAAUUUUGGGGUUGAAAUGACACGGAAACAACAUUGAUUCAACCAGUUUUUGCCCAGUGGGUCGCAACUACAGUUGCAAAAUUCCGAAAUGGUACACAGCAUCAUCUGGAUGUGUGCAACAAAAGUUCAACAUUCAUUCUGCUACCAUUUCUGCCAAGCCGUCUACGCAUACAGUUUGAUGCUUACGUUAGAUAAAUCCAACGCUAUGCACCACACAGAACGCACUGCAACUGCCUCUGCAACGCAAUGCUGCAAGGCCAACCUAACUUUCCAUUGGAAAUGAAUGUACAUAUGGUGAACCAAAAUGCAAUGAUGCUGUCAGUGUGAUAGAGGCGUAACCUAAUCCCAAUAUCAUGUCCAUGUUUUUCAAUACAAAAUCUCACCUCUUGAGUUCCCUCUUAGAAUAGAAAAGAGAAAUUCCAACAACAUCUCUAGUGUCCUCCUCUGUGCCUCAAAAGAGCCAGCACACGCCCAAGCCAUUCUCUUUUUUCAAAGAGAGAAGACUGCAACUACAGAGUGAUGGGAAUCUAAUUUUGUUCUGAGAGAAGAUGAAGUUUGCCAGUGCAUGGUAGGAAUCCUGUAGUGCUGUUUGGAGUCAGUGAACCAUGCAGUUUCUUACUGCACCGGCUGACCCCGGCCAACCACUAAUGGUUUCUCUGAAACGCCACACAAUAGACCUUUAAUAAGAAUAAGAGUAGUUCAGUGAGGGAUGGCCAUCCACACGGAAUUUACAUAAUAUAUCAUACCUUUAUGGGCCUUCCAGUCAUCCCAAUAAAUGGCUAGAUUAAUUUCACUGCUGCCAGCACUGACUCUUCUACUUUGGAAGAACAGUCACCCCUUUAGGUUCUGGUUUAACUAUCAUGGAUAACCCACCUGUGGACAAAUAGCUUCUUUGUCUAUUAUUUUAGCCUGUGUAAUAAAAAGCUAAUCUGAAUAAACAUAGCUAGUUAUGUGCGUUUACUCUCUAGCUAGGAGAACCUUUUUAUUCCACGGGCCUGGAAUGUUGGAGCGAAGAAAAGUGGUCCAGAUUAUAAUAUUGUAAAACACCAAGGUUAUGGACAUGGCCAUGCAUACAAUGUGGUUGCUCUUGUUAUAACCAUUUUUUCCCCCUCCUGUGAAUAGUACAACUAUUUAUCGUGGACCGUAUCCAUAAUCCAAACUCAUAUUCACACGUUCCACCCAACAUUGCUAAUAAAUCACAAUGAAAAGGUCCAUGGUUAGCCUGUCAUCUUCAACAUCUCUCCAUCUGACUGCGCUAUAUCCCUCCAUCUGAAACAGAGGAAGAUAGUUUAGAGUCAUUUGGAGAGAUCAGCGUCCACAUUGUGUAUGCUGGAUUAGUUUUUGUUGGAUGGGAUCUCUGAAGGUCUAUAGGAUUUAUGAUCGGAGUCAGCCUGGUUAAAGCCCCUCUUGGGAGAAGCCUGCACCCUUUCUGGAUGAGAUGAAACUAAAGCCUUCCCUACUUGUUGUGUGCAAGAGGGAUUAAGAAUCAGGGCCUGUUUCUUAUAAAGAGACAGAGAAAAUAUUUCAGGCAUAGCUCUGUAGCGUGUCCAUUACAAAAGAUGGACUUCACAUUUGGAAUUCAGCUCAGACUCAGAACAUGGACUUGGUUUAUUCAUUAUGUUCUAUGUCUAACUGACAACAGCCUAAGCAUGCCUAGGGAGAUUCCAGAUUCAAAGUGGAGAUAUAUUUCUCCCUUUUUUUUAUCUGACUUAUCAUAGUUUUGCUGGUAUGGGAUUGUAAUGGAUUUAACACUCACAGUCUGCCUUUAGGGAUUUCAAAGUACCUGGAACUGUCAUGAAAUGCAUUCAUUUUAUUGUUAUUUUUACAAUUCACAGAGGGGUUUCAGAAUGUAUUCGCUUCCUUUCUUCAUUCCAGUUUUAUUUUUGCACCAUCAAAUCUAUAUCUCUUACAGACCUCUACAAUAUGGUGGUCUUGGUUUAUGUCUAAAUUUCACACAAAAACAUCUGUUGCUAAUGUCUGUACAGUUAAUUAUGUCUUCACACAUUAUGAUGGAUUCAUUUAAAUGAACAUUGACUGGUGCUCCCAUCUCUAAAUUACAGUCCUGUAACAACAGAAGCACUCUGUAACUGGUCAUGAAUUGAUUUGCUGUCAGACCAGACAGUUGUAGAAUGUCAUUGCUCUUGAGGGGGAACUCACUUAUUGUGCUUAAUCAGCUUGUUACCGUAUCAGUGGUAGAACCAGAGGCAGUUACAGUUACAUGCCAAAUACAGUAGCACAGGAGGCUGCUGAGGGGAGGACAGCUCAUAAUAAUGGAGUGCAUAGAAUGGAAUCAAACAUGGAAACCAUGUGUUGGAUGUGUUUGAUACCAUUCAAUGCAUUCUGUUGCAACCAUUACUAUGGGUAAGUUGAGUGUGGGUGAUGAGGUUGCAGAAGAGGCACAUUACAUUUGCUACAUUCUAUGGUCACUCCUCAAAAUAAUAAGAAUGCCAGUAGCAGCAGCUGCCUCCUUUUCAUAAGGUGUUUAAUUGGAGCGAUAAUAGAGAUCCCCUGUGGAUGGAAGGGAUGCUACUGUUAGAUGCCGUCUAGCUACCUCCUCCGGGUGAUUUCCCCGGGGAACACUGUGAUUAGGUAAGACUUAGUAAAUGGCGGGCCCGUUAAACAGAUGUCUGUAGAUAUUAAGCUAAUGAACUCUCUCUGAGAGCCAGGCUAGGUUGAGUGGUGCUGGGCUGGCGGACACUAGGGCAUGCUCCUGCAGCCUCCUGUUAAAUGAAUUGCAUUGCCAAUGUCUAUCGGUGCCUUUGAAAAUAGUUUCAGCGAGCUUGUUAACCCCUGCUGUCUGACCUUUGGCUAAACGCAGACGACCGUCUGGCAGCAUCACACCAUAAAGCAAAUGGCCGUAAAGCCAGGAUUACUGCUGGCUGUCUGAGGAACCAAUGAAGGACGUAUUUCAGAAGCCAUUUUAGAUGAGCUCCCACUCUGAAGUGACAUCACUGUGUUAUUAUACGGUGUCUUAUUAUAAAAUACAUUUUGUGAAGGUGUCAUAUCUAGGUCAUUGUGCAAAAUGUUCCUCUCUAAUUGCAGUCUUUUUAACAUAUUAUUUGUCCCUGAAAUCUACUUGGUCUAGUAUUUGUUUGACCUUUGAUAGAUAUCCCUGUGUGCACUUCCAGAGGACACAGAGUAAUCAUUCCAAAUAAGAAUGCAGAAGUAUCUGCUUUCCCAGCCAAAGUCUGCUUCUGGACACAGAAUAUUUUUUCUCUCUUGCUCAUCAUUAACCUAAUGUUCGAACAGUGACCUAGUCUUUUUCCUUUCUGUUGAAUCAGACCGUAUUACAUCUAUCUUUUGAAACGUAAAAGCAUCCCUGCUAUGACUCUGGGUGAACAGGCUCUACUAUCAUCAUCCAAGGGAAGGCCAACGUUUCUCGGUAGAUAUCAUUUGAAGAUACUUAAUUCAUGCUCAGUGUACUCAAUAAUGCAGGAGUUUAUAUUCCCCAAUUGUGAUAGGGGUUGUAGAGUAUCUUCCCUCAGGAGAGUCUGAUGUGAUGUCAGCAGCGGGCCUUAGAUCCACAGAGGUCAGAGGUCAGGGUCAACAUAACCAUGACUCUGCUGCUUAGGUUUCUCUCCUCCCAAAUCAGAUGUGAACAGAUUAUCUCCUGAGCCCUAAUUUGAGCCAAUUAACAUUUUGGCUCACAUUUAACUAUGUUUGUCCUGGGGGUUAAGCCACUUAGUGACAGGCUAGUGAGAAAGGUUUAAGGCUGGAAUGUCGUUACGUAACAGCCACGUGUUAAUGCGAUCUGGAACACAGCCUCUCUAGAUGGUAAAAUGACUUUGUAAAUGUUCUCUUAUUUAUUACCCUGGCGAAGAAAAGCAUAUCAACACCCUUCAACAUGGUCCGUACUAGGAAACAGAGGAAGAAGAGGGACGCAGAUGGAGAACGACUCAGCAAACUGGUAUUGUGAUCUGCACUGGUUUGAUUGAGUUUCUAGAAGAAAUGCCUUGCUGUUCUCAGUGAACUUUUGCCCUACAGUCCUGAUUCAGAGGGAAUAAAUCUCCACAGGCAGCCAAGCAACACACACACACACCCACACACACACCCACACACACACACACACACACACACACACACACACACACACACACACACACACACACACACACACACACACACACACACACUAUACAAGCCCAUGGAGAAUGGGGAGGAAAGAGGAGGGCUCAGACCUCUACAGUAUAAAAGAUGCCAAGAUUCCUCAUAUCCCUGAGGACAUCUUUGGUUAUGGUCAAGUAAAACUUAUCUUGGCCGAUGGUCAGAUUUUCUCAAUUUAUUGUCUCCCAGCCGAGUUUUUUCUCCUCCCCUGCUUGAUGAAGUACAGUUACAGACAAGGCUAUAGCACAUUGUAAGUCACAGUAAUGGCUUGCAUACACAUUCUCUUUCAUUUAUUGGAGAAUUCAACAGCCUAGACAACUGACAAAGAAAGGCUAUUCAUUCCAAUGGAAAGGGCAAUAAGUUUGAACAAUUACAGCGAGGGUGCGUUCAAUGAUUCCAUUGAAGACAUUACAUUCUCUCUACAAUAUUAUAAUCCACAGUAGGUAUUAUGUUACACAUUUUUAAUAACUGUCACAACACAAUUUUUAUUUAUUUAAAUCAAUUAGUUUCAGGCAGCUGCAGAGGUCUUAUUUAAAUGGUAAAUUUCUUAGUUAAACAAUGCAAAUUGGUUUAGAUAGACACACACAAUCUAGUCCACCUGCAUGUAGAGAAGCAUUGAUUUCGUCUGAAUCCUUAAGACUCUAUUUGACACCCUGCGGUGUGAUAAGAUAAGACCAGGCCAAGACACCUGCAGAUAAGGAAAACAUCAAGUAGACUAGAUAAUCCUCCGCUCUCCCUCUCCUCUAAAUGCUUCUUUUCGGCUGGCUCCUAGCCAGUGUGCUCGCACACUUCCUUAAAAUACCUUCGCUUGAAAAACGAGAAAAAGCAGUAAUAGUACUGUUUGUCCAUUUUGAGACGCCUUAGCCAGUAUACACUUCCUCAAAAUAGUCUGAAUUCAUUAAGAUAACUUAAGAAAACUGUCAUUCAUUUUGACGUUUUUGACGAGGAGAUCUUAGUAGCACAAUUGUACCUAGGAUGUUUGGUCCAGUAUUUCUCAAGUGGGAAAAUGUAUAUGAAAAUGAUUAGUCUAUAGCUGAAUGACAACAAACACUUAAUUGAAGAAUCCCUACUCUUGACCAAUCACCGACGAAGGUGCGUAGACUUCGGCUACCGACUUCAGCUCGCCUCAAUAAUUCUUUGUGUGUGCACGAACAGCCAAAAAACCCUUGCCGAAGACCAAAACAAACAAUAACGUCACAAAAUAGCAUCCUAAUAUAUGCACAAACCGUUUUGGAUGGAAAGCAUUCGGACGCCUUAAUAGGGAUGGAGGGAUGAAGACAUUGACUAGAUGACGAUGUCCUGGUGUUGAUGUCAUAGCACCAGUGAUAGAUAACGCUGUUCUUCUCUGAUGUUCCUCUCUAUGCCCCACGGUUGAGAUGGAGCUUCACAACAUUUCCUAUUGAUCUCUUGUGUGUUGCCUGACUACAACAGUGUUAGAAUAAUGCUGCAGUUGUAUCAUGCCAACUGUGUUUGGAUAUUACCAUGCCAUUUUCAAUAUAAUAAUAGAGAUCUGCAAAUCCAGCAUAUUGUCACCCUUCUGUAGCGUAUCUCAUAAUGGACUUUGGAUAUAUAUGUUUGCCUUUGAAGGUAAGAAAGAGUGAAAUGGCGUAUGGACAGUUACACACCUGCGGUUCAGAUGAGCAUGUAGGCCUUUUAAUGCGGCCAGUCCUGUUAUUUGUCAUAAUUUCCAUGUCCCCAGACACUCUCUCUCUCUGUGUGAGUUGAUGACAGACCAAACUCAUUAUAGAAUGUCAUAUGUUGCACAAUGUGCCACAAUAGUAUCUCAGAUGUGCAUCAGAAGCAGCAUUGUCAAUUCAUUGAAUUCAAGUAUUCAUUUGAUAAGCAUUGAGGUACCUGCCUUUAGAACAUUAGAUCUUUAGAUACCAUGAAACCAUACAACCCCUUUCCCCCCAAAAAUACCAGUUGUCAAGUGAAAUGACUUGUCUGUGUCUUUGACUCAUGACAGCCUAGACACAGAGGCAUCAUUCUGUAUGUCCCGGGAGGCCCAGAGAUAUGGUUACCUGAACCGCGGGGUUCUGCCCCUUCUCCCUCUCUAAUCGAGUGGUCUUCCUGUAAAACCCCCAGAAGAAGAAGCCACUUGGCAGAUAACGAUGGUGUGCCUCACCCGUACAUGACAACGGAUGGGGCGAGUGGGCACACAGAGAGAGCGUGCCCAUCUGCCACAUCAUUGCUAAUAUGCCAGGUGUAUCCCUCUGAGACCAGCAGGUGGUUAUGGGUAUUGCCACGGGAAGUAGGGGUGCUGAGGGUGCUGCAGCACCCCCUGAUAAAUCACAAAUAAAAAGUAAUUGAUAUAAAAAUAAAAUAAAUUGAAAUUAUCGUAGACUAUUUUUUCCCCCUAAGAGCUUGAUUACUAUUGAUUCAUUGCCAGGAGUGAUUUGGAAGUCACCAGUGCUGUGUAAUGAGGAUGAAAUGCCUUGCUCUAUAUGAUAACAGAGUGGCCCACUCCAUAGAUCUGACAUUUCCUGGCUGCCAGUGUCAGUGCUGCAGGUGUGAACUGGCUCAGUCUCGCAUGACCUGCUGGAACGGCUCCCCAAAGGACCCCACACCGGUUUCCAAACCUCUGUUUUCUGUUUUCCCCAUCAGCUUUGCCAGUGGUUCCACACUCAGAUGGGGCCUCGGCCCCUCAUACUCUGUGGGCCAUGUAUGCCCUCUCCUAUAAUAUAUUCUGUGGGCCAUGUAUGCCCUCUCCUAUAACACAUUCUGUGGGCCAUGUAUGCACUCUCCUAUAACACAUUCUGUGGGCCAUGUAUGCCCUCUCCUAUAACAUAUUCUGUGGGCCAUGUAUGCCCUCUCCUAUAACACAUUCUGUGGGCCAUGUAUGCCCUCUCCUAUAACACAUUCUGUGGGCCAUGUAUGCCCUCUCCUAUAUCACAUUCUGUGGGCCAUGUAUGCCCUCUCCUAUAACAUAUUCUGUGGGCCAUGUAUGCCCUCUCCUAUAACACAUUCUGUGGGCCAUGUAUGCCCUCUCCUAUAACAUAUUCUGUGGGCCAUGUAUGCCCUCUCCUAUAACAUAUUCUGUGGAACAUACAGUAUAUGCUUAAAAUUAGCCUCUACGAAUCUGAGUGUGGAAGCCUCCACUCUCAUCUCAAAUAUACAGAUUCAGAAAUUCCAAACAGUCCCUGUGUGUUUACAUAGUGUGCAUCACAUUCAAAUGCGUCAAGUAAUUUCACAAGACAUAAGGACCAACUGCCCAGAAAACCGGUAGAGUAAAUUAAAAUUCAACAUUCUGACUUGUAGAGGCCAUGAGAAGAAACUUUGCAAAUGUUAUUAUUGCUUUGUUUCAGGCUAUAACUAGUAAGGUGUCAUAGUCUGAUGUAUUAAGUAAGCUUCAAAUACAGUAUGCAUGUAGCUCUUCUUCUGUGCAUCUGACGACCUUGACUCCCAUGUAUCCCAUUGCAACACAGACAGCUAACGGGAGAUAUACAAUAUGGCUGAAGGAGGGGAGGACAUGGAGGACGACAGAUUCAUGGUCGGGGUUACAGAGAUGUCAUAAGGUGUUGUCAUAAGGUGGUGGGUGCUAUUCAAAUGGACAUGUUUAGUAGCAUGUUCAGUGAAGAGUUACACAGUCGUUUUAAGUAAAUGUUAUUGAUUAGCUACAUAAAAACUAGCCGUUCCCCUCGUUAGCCAUACAGGAAAGAGUUUUAAAGGAUAGGACCUAUGUUUUGUUUCUAUAAAACGUUUCCGUCAUGGUAGUUUUGCUCAUGACAUACAUUUAAAGAGAUUAUAUGCAUUGGUGCACACAAUAGAAUGUGACAUAAAACCGUAUUGUUUCGGGCCUGGGCCCUAGCAGAAAUACUGUAUCUGUAGGAGAUCACAGAGAAUAAUUGAAUCUCUUGGAAAGAGAAAAGAAUGGGUGAAUUCAUCUGAGUGCCAUUAUCCUCUACUCCCUUAAAGACUAGGAGAAGAGGAGAAGAGGACGAGGAGGGGGUUGCUAAUGAGAGAAUCUCAGUGGGAUAGAUCCCUUUAUCUGUCUGAUAGUGUUAGAAAGUUCAUGGGAUUCUUCUAGUGAAAUGACCUUAAAGCAGGUACGUCUCAUUAAGGGACAUCUUCUUUCCUUUUCACACUUUUACACAAUGCCAACUUAAAGCUAGAAUCCUUAGUUGAAACAAUAACAAAGUGGCACCCCGCCUCUUUAUUGGUAAAAAUCUAAGUGAUGGGCCUGGAGAAAUGUAACCACUCUGAAAUUCAUAGACAGAGCUAUGGAUGCAAGGACUGACCAUCCAUGAUAUCAAAAUAAUAGUUGUAACCAUGUUUUGACAAUGUACAGUGUUAGUUUACAUUUACAUUGUUUACUGUCACGCCCUGAUCAGUUCCACCUGUUCCUGUGAUUGUCUCCACCCCCUCCAGGUGUCGCUUAUUUUCCCCAGUGUAUUUAUCCCCGUGUUUCCUGUCUCUGGUAUGUUUAGUCAAGUCAACCAGCGUGUUUUUCCUGUACUCCUUUUGCUAUUCUCCUUUUUCUAGUCCUCCCGGUUUUGACCCCUGCCUGUUUCUGGACUCUGUUCCCGCCUGCCUGACCAUUCUGCCUGCCUUGACCACGCCCCUGUCUUCCACUCUGUACCUCCUGGACUCUGAUCUGGUUUUGACCUUUUGCCUGUCCACGACUAUUCUCUUGCCGACCCCUUUGGAUUAUUAAACAUUGUAGGACUCCAACCAUCUGCUUCCUGUGUCUGCAUCUGGUUCUCGCUUUGUGCCUUGAUAGUUUACAAACAUUUAAGUAAAAAAGCUUAGAAUUUGGGUUCUGAUGGAGUUCGACAGUUUAACAAUUAUAAGUUAUAUUCUUCAAGAAUCAAUGGGUAUAUAUAUCAUUAAUUUAUACGUCCAAAAAUGUAUGUAGCAACUAUAGAUUCUAGCUGUAAAUGCUGUGAUACUCAGUGUACGGGUUGUAAAUAUACUGAUAAGCCACACUACAGCAAAUGUUACCACAGUUACUGUAUCUGCAUUAUAUACCACCUCACUCUGAUUCUUCUCUGUUGUGCACACUGCUCUCCAUCAGAUCAGCCUGGAAGAUAAGGAACAGUACUAAGGGAUUGGGUCUCUGUUUGACAUUAGUCACGGUCUCCCUGGCCAAGAGAGAUGGAAGACGUAGGUGAGCACUAGCUAUCCCAGAAGGCCCCAUGGCCCCAGUAAGUCCUUAUUACACACUGGAGAUCACUUUCAGUAACACAGGAAUGUCAGUGUUACUGUCAAAUCCAUGAAGGGUGAUUAAUGACAAAAUCACGCUUUGAUUUGUAAAAGGAAAACGCCUUCAUCCAUCUCCCCUCUCCGUGGAGACAUGGACUCCAGAGAGGUGGACGGAGGGACGCUGCAGACAGACAUUCAAGACACCCAUGCUUGUGCAUAGGAUUUAGACUCGGCAUAAAAUAAGUGGGCAUUAUUGUAUUUCCAGCAGGACACUUUAGCUGUGUUAUCAUAGGGGUGUGUCUGUUUCUUUUUCUGUGGCUCGCAGGGGAAAUAAGAACACAUCCACUAUAAAAAGCCAAAGGAAACACUAUAUCAAGAGAAACUACAGCGCUCUUCUCUAUCAAGCAGGGUGUUUUUCUUUUGGCUGUAUAGGACUGGUUCAUCUCUACCAAGCCCACCAUCAAGUUAGCCUUCCUCUCUGCUCAAAUUUCUGUUCCAAGACGCCCCUGGCUCUAACCAAACUGUUAUAUCAAAGUUACUGUGGUCUUGUAUAACAACAAAAUACAUCUUGCAAAUGCUGUGACUGCCUGAUACUCUGUGCUGUUGCUGUAUGUUGACAAACAAUGCCUUUAGGUUGAGUUUUUAAUACAUUCUACUUAGUACCGGUAGGGACAUUGUGUGCCCAAUCUCCAUCUGUACUCCCCAUGUCAGUACUGCCUGUUUUAUUUUCGUACAUCGGUUGCAGUUAUUAGCCUUGCAACGUUUCAGCUGUUUCUUAGUACUGUAUUGGUUUCCUGCCAGCCUUCAGGCUUCCAUAUUGUAACCAAUCUGUUGCAUAGAAUUAUUUUGCAUGGGAAAGAUUUGUUUGUUUGGAAAGUUGAGGGUACUAGACCAGAUUACAGGUCAUGGGAAUAACAAGAGAUCAUAAAUCAUCCCAAUUACAUCUUCAAAAUUCUGUUUUUCAUUAAACAAUGGUCAGAGAGGAAGUGCCUGUCGUGUCAGUUCUGCAGCAUACAGUAUAUCGGCCCUCUCAACUUCAGCAAAACGGUCUUGUUCUAUUGAAUGGUGAUUAAUAAAUGGAGGUCAGCAAGUUUGGCUCCCGCUAUGCUGACAAAGAGACACGUCAGCCUGUGGAUUAGUAUGCUGUCACUGGAGAAAAAAAACCAUGCAAGUCAAACCCAGUGACAGGUGCCAUACAGAGACAUGCUUUGUCUCUGGGUGCCAGAUACUGUAUGUUGUAGCAGGGAAAUGGAGGCAUUCAUUAUGGGAUAAGGAGCCGCAAUGUGACUGGCUGAAUAACCACACGUUUCCACGGCAGUGGAUACUGCUGCCUAUUGUAUGUGCUUUCGUAUCCCCCUGGAAUGUGGAGACAAAACCUUGUCUAUUUUCUCCCACAGAACAGCACAGUCACAACACCAGGCAAUAUAUAGAUGUAUAGACAGAGAUGGUUUGCACAGACCAGGCUGCAACAGGGUUUGUUUGUUAUAUUUACAGUGCCUUCAGAAAGUCUCACACCCCUUGACUUUUUCCACAUUUUGUUGUGUUACAGCCUGAAUUUAAAAUGGAUUCAAUUGAGAUUUUGUGCUACUUAUUUACACACAAUACCCCACAAUGUCAAAGUGGAAUUUUGUUUUUACAAAUGUUUACAAAUUAAACAAAAGCUGAAAUGUCUUGAUUCAAUAAGUAUUCAAACAGUUAUGUUAGGAGUAAAAAUGUUCCUUAACAAGUCAUAUAAUAAGUUGCAUGGACUCAUUAUGUGUGCAAUAAUAGUGGAUAACAUGAUUUUUUUAUGAAUACCCCAUCUCUGUACCCCACGCAUACAAUUAUCUUUAAGGUCCCUCAGUCGACUAGUGAAUUUCAAGCACAGAUUCAACCACAAAGACCAGGGAGGUUUUGCAUCGCCUCGCAAAGAAGGGCAACUAUUGGUAGAUGAAAAAUAAAGAGCAGACAUUGAAUAUCCCUUUGAGCAUGGUGAAGUUUUUAAUUACACUUUGGAUGGUGUAUCAAUAUACCCAGUCACUACGAAGAUACAGGCAUCCUUCCUAACUCAGUUGCCGGAGAAGAAAACGUUUUUUAAAUAACUCUUCCACUUUCACCUUAGAGUAUUUUCUGUAGAUCGUGUAAAAAAAUAAAUACAUAUUAAAUCCAUUUUAAUCCCAGUUUGUAACACAACAAAAUGUGGAAAACUUCAAGGGGUGUGAAUACUUUCUGAAGGCACUGUACUGGGAUUCUCUGCCUCUAACCCUAUUACAGGGGCUGAGUCACUGGCUUACUGGUGCUCUUCAAUGCCGUCCCUAGGUGCGUCACUUGAGUGGGUUGAGUCGCUGACGUGGUCUUCCUGUCUGGGUUGGCACCCCCUUGGGUUUGUGCCAUGGCGGAGAUCUUUGUGGGCUAUACUCGGCCUUGUCUCAGGAUGGUAAGCUGGUGGUUGAAGAUAUCCCUCUAGUGGAGUGGGGUCUGUGCUUUGGCAAAGUUAUAUCCUGCCUGUUUGGCCCUGUCCGGGGCUAUCGUCGGAUGGGGCAACAGUGUCUCCUGACCCCUCUUGUCUCAGCCUCCAGUAUUUAUGCUGCAGUAGUUUAUGUGUCGGGGGGCUAGGGUAAGUCUGUUAUAUCUGGAGUAUUUCUCCUGUCUUAUCCGGUGUCCUGUGUGAAUUUAAGUAUGCUCUCUCUAAUUCUCUCUUUCUCUCUUUCUUUCUCUCUCUCGGAGGACCUGGGCCCUAGGACCAUGCCUCAGGACUACCUGGCAUGAUGACUCCUUGCUGUCCCCAGUCCACCUGGCCGUGCUGCUGCUCCAGUUUCAACUGUUCGGCCUGCGGCUAUGGAACCCUGACCUGUUCACCGGACGUGCUACCUGUCCCAGACCUGCUCUUUUCAACUCUCUUGAGACAACAGGAGUGGUAGAGAUACUCUCAAUGAUUGGCUAUGAAAAGCCAACUGACAUUUACUCCUGAGAUGCUGACUUGUUGCACCCUCGACAACUACUGUGAUUAUUAUUAUUCGACCAUGCUGGUCAUUUAUGAACAUUUGAACAUCUUGGCCAUGUUCUGUUAUAAUCUCCACCCGGCACAGCCAGUAGAGGACUGGCCACCCCUCAUAGCCUGGUUCCUCUCUAGGUUUCUUCCUAGGUUUUGGCCUUUCUAGGGAGUUUUUCCUAGCCACCGUGCUUCUACACCUGCAUUGCUUGCUGUUUGUGGUUUUAGGCUGGAUUUCUGCACAGCACUUUGAUAUAUCAGCUGAUGUAAGAAGGGCUAUAUAAAUAAAUUUAAAAAAUAAAAAAUGUUUUGUAGGAUUUACUGUAUGUAUCACAGCAUACAGUACAUGCUGCCACUAAUAGGGAUUUUGAUUAUUUACAGAGCUACAGAGUCUAUUGGAGUGGAUGGCAGCAGAGCCAAAAGCAACAGUUUUGAAGUGACAAGAAUGCAUUUCUAAUGUGUAACGUAGGAGCCUGACAGUAAAUCCUGUGUAAUGUGGUGCUGGGCCUGCGAUCGGAGCUGGGGAUGUCUUGUCUCUGAAUUUCUGCAAUCUUAGCAAACAGGACACAUUCCAGUAGCACACACAGAAAAUGAACCAACAAACUAGUAAAUGUGAUGUUUGGGAGUGAUUCAGAAAAUGGUUUAUUGCUUUUUGUUCAUGCAAUGUGUGAGAACACACUCUUUUUAAACGCCCCACUAUGGGUAAUUGAUACAAAUUGUUCUGAUGUUUAUAACAUCGUCAAGACACACAAUACAUAUAAUGCAUCAGAGUUAUUAAACUAUUACACAUUGA